rnacentral:rRNA from 1 species
GGUGCUGCGGAGGGAUCAUUA